AUGGGAGUCUCAUUCUUGCUUGCAUCAUUGGUGCUGAGAAUAUUUUGCAGAAUCUAUGAUGUUCAUGGGUGGUGAAAACUUUAAACUACUUUUAGAACUUGGAAGAUUGAAGAUGGUGUGAUCAGCCAACUCUCUCCUAAUAACCAGUGGCAAUGCGAUUCAUCUGCUUCCUCCUGAGUUGUGUUUCCAGGAUGCAGGCUAGCGUUGCUAAUGAGGACUAGCCUGUGCUGCAAUUUACUGAAUUUAGACAGAGACAAGCAUGACGGAGGUUUAUCAGAUUGUUCACCUAAGCAUUAUUUAGCUUCUCUUACAUUCCAUGUUGAAACAAACCGGUGAAGUGCUAUCUGAGCGUUGAUAGAGUUCACAAGAUACGUGCAGAACAAGCUUGCUCACAAUGUAUAUAAUACCUUCCUUUUUUUAAAUACCCUUGAUGUCAAGUUGUGGCUUGAAGCAAGUCUUUUCUUGUCAUGGCAAGCUGAAGAAAGUAAGUUUGCUGUAGUAUAUUCGAGGAGUAUUUUUACAAUCUUGUGUUGGUUGAGACUUGGGUAUCAGUGCGAGUAUCUAGCCAUGUUUACGCGAUGAGGACUAGCCUCUACUCAAAUGUUUCUUCUCUCAUCUCUAUUUAAUGGAGUUAGAAACAGUGCA
rnacentral:misc_RNA from 1 species